rnacentral:tRNA from 1 species
GCCACCUUAGCUCAGCUGGCAGAGCAGCACUUUCGUAAAGUGAAGAUCCCGAGUUCGAAUCUCGGAGGUGGCU